UGGAGAGUUUGAUCCUGGCUCAGGACGAACGCUGGCGGCGUGCUUAACACAUGCAAGUCGAACGGAAAGGCCCUUUCGGGGGUACUCGAGUGGCGAACGGGUGAGUAACACGUGGGUGAUCUGCCCUGCACUCUGGGAUAAGCCUGGGAAACUGGGUCUAAUACCGGAUAGGACCAUGGGAUGCAUGUUCUGUGGUGGAAAGCUUUUGCGGUGUGGGAUGGGCCCGCGGCCUAUCAGCUUGUUGGUGGGGUGAUGGCCUACCAAGGCGACGACGGGUAGCCGGCCUGAGAGGGUGUCCGGCCACACUGGGACUGAGAUACGGCCCAGACUCCUACGGGAGGCAGCAGUGGGGAAUAUUGCACAAUGGGCGCAAGCCUGAUGCAGCGACGCCGCGUGGGGGAUGACGGCCUUCGGGUUGUAAACCUCUUUCAGUAUCGGCGAAGCUCCCUGGUUUUGUUNGGGGUGACGGUAGGUACAGAAGAAGCACCGGCCAACUACGUGCCAGCAGCCGCGGUA
rnacentral:rRNA from 1 species